GUGUCCGUGGUCAAUAAGAAUGAGGCCUGGAUAAAGAAGUAUACAGAGAGCACUGGAAACCUUCUUUUUAGUAGAUGUUUCCUUUAAGGAACAACAAUAUAAAAUAACUGCAGGAAUAUAAAUCAGCAGAUCAGCAACAAACACUGUUGUACGCAUAAAUAACUUAUGUGACUGACUCUCAUACCCCCGAGAUGUGUGGAGAGCAAUCCAAUCAGGAUUUAUUAACUUUGCAACAUAAGCACACAGAAAGCUGUGAUAGGCAGUAAGAGGUGGAUAAUCUAGGCCCCAGUACAGCAAGUUGUUAUCACUUGUAUUGAAGUACCACUGCCUGAUGGGUAAGUUGUAAGUAACUUCUUGCCAGUGUCUCUGAGCUUCAUAAUCUCCAU
rnacentral:lncRNA from 1 species